UACAUGCCUCGAAGCCACGACCUCACGGGAAUGGCGCAAUUAUUAGAUCAAAAUCAACCGGGCUUCGGUCCGAGAUUUUGAUGACUCUGGAUAAUCUUCUGCAGAUCGCACGGCCUUGUGUCGGCGACAGAUCUUAUAAAUGUCUGCCCUAUCAACUUUAGAUGGUAGGUUAACUGCCUACCAUGGUGAUAACGGGUAACGGGGAAUCAGGGUUCGAUUCCGGAGAGGGAGCCUGAGAAAUAGCUACCACAUCCAAGGAAGGCAGCAGGCGCGCAAAUUACCCACUCCCGGCACGGGGAGGUAGUGACAAAAAAUAACGAUACGGGACUCAUUCGAGGCCCCGUAAUCGGAAUGAGAACACUUUAAAUCCUUUAACGAGGAUCAAUUGGAGGGCAAGUCUGGUGCCAGCAGCCGCGGUAAUUCCAGCUCCAAUAGCGUAUAUUAAAGUUGUUGCAGUUAAAAAGCUCGUAGUUGGAUCUGAGGAAUAGAUCGGGCGGUUCACCUUCGGGAGUUACUGCCUGGUCGUCCUACACAGCCGUGGUUACUUUUGGUGCUCUUCAUUGAGUGCUAUUAGUGCCCGGCGCGAUUACUUUGAAAAAAUUAGAGUGCUUAAAGCAGGCCUUGUGCUUGUAUAUUGUUGCAUGGAAUAAUGGAAUAGGACUUCGGUUCUAUUUUGUUGGUUUUCGGAAUUGAAGUAAUGAUUAACAGGGAUUGCCAGGGGCAUUUGUAUGGUGGCGCUAGAGGUGAAAUUCUUGGACCGCCGCCAGACAACCUAACGCGAAAGCAUUUGCCAAGAAUGUCUUCACUAAUCAAGAACGAAAGUCAGAGGUUCGAAGACGAUCAGAUACCGUCCUAGUUCUGACCAUAAAUGAUGCCAACUGACAAUCCGAGAUGUUGCUUGUUCGACUCUUUGGGCUGUUCCCGGGAAACCAAAGUGUGUAGGUCCCGGGGGUAGUAUGGUUGCAAGACUGAAACUUAAAGGAAUUGACGGAAGGGCACCACCAGGAGUGGAGCCUGCGGCUUAAUUUACUCAACACGGGAAAACUCACCCGGCCCGGACACUGUAAGGAUUGACAGAUUAAUUCUCUUUCUAGAUCUUGUGGUUGGUGGUGCAUGGCCGUUCUUAGUUGGUGGAGUGAUUUCUCUGGUCGAUUCCGAUAACGAGCGAGACUGUUGCCUAUUAAAUAGGUUGUAUUGGAGCCUUCACUACUACUUCUUAGAGGGAUCUAUGUUUUUGAGACAUAUGAUAGAGAGCAAUAACAGGUCUGUGAUGCCCUUAGAUGUUCGGGGCCGCACGCGCGCUACACUGACGGUCGCAAAAAGUGCUCCUUUCCCGAAAGGGUUGGGUAACCUCUGAAUGAUCGACGUGACAGGGAUCGUGGUUUGCAAUUUUCCCACGUGAACGAGGAAUUCCCAGUAAGCGCUAGUCAUUAACUAGUGUUGAUUACGUCCCUGCCCUUUGUACACACCGCCCGUCGCUACUACCGAUUGAAUGGCUUAGU
rnacentral:rRNA from 1 species